GGCCUGGUGGUCUAGUAGUAUGAUUCCUUCUUAGGGCGUCCGUAGUCACAAUUGGAGGAGGUCCCGGGUUCAAUUCCCGGCCAGGCCC